ACGACCUUACUUGAACAGGAUCUGUUCUAUAGGCUCGUACCACUGUAUCCUUGAUUUCUAAGGAGACAGGAAACCAAGUUUGGUGGAUGAAUUAUAAUCAUUAGACCAGAGCGUGAUUAACAGCAUCCAUGGCUCUCGGGUCAUGGUACCGUAGAUGAUCGUUCUCAGCGCCCAUCGGUGCUGCUGGGAUGGCCUAAUGGUUGUCUGACAGACU